rnacentral:rRNA from 1 species
ACGAACGCUGGCGGCAGGCCUAACACAUGCAAGUCGAGCGAGGACUUCGGUUCUAGCGGCGGACGGGUGAGUAACGCGUGGGAAUGUGCCCUUCUCUACGGAAUAGCCCUGGGAAACUGGGAGUAAUACCGUAUACGCCCUAUUGGGGAAAGAUUUAUCGGAGAAGGAUCAGCCCGCGUUGGAUUAGGUAGUUGGUGGGGUAAUGGCCUAUCAAGCCGACGAUCCAUAGCUGGUUUGAGAGGAUGAUCAGCCACACUGGGACUGAGACACGGCCCAGACUCCUACGGGAGGCAGCAGUGGGGAAUCUUAGACAAUGGGGGCAACCCUGAUCUAGCCAUGCCGCGUGAGUGAUGAAGGCCUUAGGGUUGUAAAGCUCUUUCAGCUGGGAAGAUAAUGACGGUACCAGCAGAAGAAGCCCCGGCUAACUCCGUG